rnacentral:rRNA from 1 species
CCUGCCUCAUACAGGGGAAUAACAACCGGAAACGGUUGCUAAAACCGCAUAAUAUGCUAACAUCGCAUGAUGACUGCAUUAAAUAUUUAUAGGUAUGAGAUGGGCCCGCGUCUGAUUAGCUAGUUGGUGAGAUAAAAGCUCACCAAGGCGACGAUCAGUAGCCGGCUUGAGAGAGUGACCGGCCACAUUGGGACUGAGACACGGCCCAAACUCCUACGGGAGGCAGCAGUGGGGAAUAUUGCACAAUGGGGGAAACCCUGAUGCAGCGACGCCGCGUGAGUGAAGAAGUAUUUCGGUAUGUAAAGCUCUAUCAGCAGGGAAGAAAAUGACGGUACCUGACUAAGAAGCCCCGGCUAACUACGUGCCAGCAGCCGCGGUAAUACGUAGGGGGCAAGCGUUAUCCGGAUUUACUGGGUGUAAAGGGAGCGUAGGUGGCGAGUCAAGUCAGAUGUGAAAGCCCGGGGCUCAACCCCGGGAUUGCAUUUGAAACUGGUUUGCUAGAGUGCAGGAGAGGUAAGUGGAAUUCCUAGUGUAGCGGUGAAAUGCGUAGAUAUUAGGAGGAACACCAGUGGCGAAGGCGGCUUACUG